rnacentral:rRNA from 1 species
AGCGAACGCUGGCGGCAGGCCUAAUACAUGCAAGUCGAACGNCGGAGCAGUGGCGGACGGGUGAGUAACGCGUGGGAACGUGCCCUUUGGUUCGGAACAACACAGGGAAACUUGUGCUAAUACCGAAUGUGCCCUUCGGGGGAAAGAUUUAUCGCCAUUGGAGCGGCCCGCGUUGGAUUAGCUAGUUGGUGGGGUAAAGGCCCACCAAGGCUACGAUCCAUAGCUGGUCUGAGAGGAUGAUCAGCCACACUGGGACUGAGACACGGCCCAGGCUCCUACGGGAGGCAGCAGUAGGGAAUCUUGCGCAAUGGGCGAAAGCCUGACGCAGCCAUGCCGCGUGAAUGAUGAAGGUCUUAGGAUUGUAAAAUUCUUUCACCGGGGAAGAUAAUGACGGUACCCGGAGAAGAAGCCCCGGCUAACUUCGUGCCAGCAGCCGCGGUAAUACGAAGGGGGCUAGCGUUGCUCGGAAUUACUGGGCGUAAAGGGCGCGUAGGCGGACAUUUAAGUCAGAGGUGAAAGCCCAGGGCUCAACCUUGGAAUUGCCUUUGAUACUGGAUGUCUUGAGUUCGGGAGAGGUGAGUGGAAUGCCGAGUGUAGAGGUGAAAUUCGUAGAUAUUCGGCGGAACACCAGUGGCGAAGGCGACUCACUGGCCCGAUACUGACGCUGAGGCGCGAAAGCGUGGGGAGCAAACAGGAUUAGAUACCCUGGUAGUCCACGCCGUAAACGAUGAGUGCUAGUUGUCGGCAUGCAUGCAUGUCGGUGACGCAGCUAACGCACUAAGCACUCCGCCUGGGA